rnacentral:rRNA from 1 species
GUGUCAGCAGCCGCGGUAAUACAGAGGUGUCAAACGUUGUCCGGAAUUAUUGGGCGUAAAGGGCGCGUAGGCGGCCGGGUAAGUGAGAUGUGAAAGCUCUGGGCUCAACCCAGGAAUUGCAUUUCAUACUGCUCGGCUUGAGAUUGGUAGAGGAUGGCGGAAUUCCAGGUGUAGCGGUGAAAUGCGUAGAUAUCUGGAGGAACACCUGUGGCGAAGGCGGCUAUCUGGUCCAAUUCUGACGCUGAGGCGCGAAAGGUAGGGGAGCAAACAGGAUUAGAAACCCGUGUAGUCC